AUGGGGAGAAGAUGAAGAGACUAAUCCUAUGCACAAAAUUAAAAGUUAAGAGUUGAAAAGAUCUGACCGAUGGGUAUCCAUCCAAUAGGCAAGAAUGGCAUAUAGAAACCCUAAAUUCCCUUGGACAUAUAGAACAAAGCAACACACAAAUGCACAAUUAUAUCAAUCUUGAAGAGUAAAGACAUCAAAUAAAGAUAACCACAUCCAAG
rnacentral:lncRNA from 1 species